GCAGAGCCCUCCAAGCGACAGCUGAUCGCUCUCCCUUAAUCAAGGGAGUGGGAUGGCUCAACAAGUCGGAGACAGGUGAGCAGUUAAUCAUAAUCACAACCAGCAAAAUGAUCAAAACAAUUCAAACAAUCAAUCAUCAAUUAAUAGAAAUAGGCUCCAACAAUAUCCAUAUACAGAUUUGUAUUAAUUCCAGGUCUGGUUCAGUAAAGAUUCUAAUAAUGACUACAUCAGAUAAUUCUUUGUCGCAGCUGGAAUUUUGCAGACUGAGAGAUGGUUGAGAAGGUUUGCAGUUUUUUAGCAAAAUAUGUUAGAAUCGAAGAUCGUGAUUGUUAUUGUACAUGAAAUUAUCUGCAAACCAGCAAAGUGCAUCAAUCUGAGGUAUCUAAAAAUAAAUAAGUCAAGAAAAAUGCUUCUGAAGCCAAUAACAAACAGAAUAUUUUGAGGGAAUAUUCUAAAAAGGAAAGAAAAGCUCCGUUCUCACUCCUCUCAGGAUGAACUGUCAUUAAAAUUGACUUUAAAUUUCACUUCAACACGAGAUCAAAACAUUUACUUUCAUUACUGAUGUUGUCCAGUUUUUAAAAAGUUCAUGCUACUUUUAUAAAAUGAUGAAAGUGAAUAAAUUGUAUUUCCGUGAUCUGUGUUUGAUUUCUGUCUUUUCUCCUGUCAUCCAGAUGUUCAGAGGGAGAUGAUGCCACAUCUGAUCCAGCCGAUGGAAGGUCUUGAAGUUCUCUGUGGAUGGUCCUCUCACUGGAUUUAAGCUGGUAAACCAGCAGUUCUGGUGGUGAUGCAUCACACCUUCAAUCGUCACCAUGUUAUAGCUCCAAGCAGCAGACUGGUGCAGAAUCCAAACAUUCUCCUCACUGUGGACUGUCUGUUUCACGAGAACAAACUCCUCAGUUGUGACCUCAAUGAUCAGAUGUGGCAUGAAUUCUACAACUUUCUUGGAGUUUCUCAGCACUUUCUCUGCCGAAUCUUCUCAAGAUGCAUGAAAAAUAAGUAUAUGCGUAUUUUUUCACCGUUGGUGAUGGUGUUUUUUUCGUAUGGAAUUUGGAAAGCCUACAAACCGAUGGUAAGCUAUCAUCACAAUACUUUUUUCUUGAAAUGAACGUUCAUAAACUUGUUAUAUCUUACAUGUGUAGUCACCUGUAAACAUGUAGCUACAGUCUUGUGUUAUUAUUAGUGUGACUGUAUUAUGGUUGUGAGGCUUUAAAUCAGUGAUAUAUCUGGAACAUAACAGAGGGAAAAUGGUCAGUUGAGAAGUGAGUUGCUUUAAAGGAGAUUCACCUUUUCUAGCAUCAUUCUUUACAAAAUUGCAGACCUGUUUAUAUGUUCUGAAGAAGAACAUAACUUUAAAGGGUAUUUGUUUGUGUAAUUGCUCCUCCUGUUGGUGGUGAAGAGGAGAUGGCAGGUGACUGGUCAUGGUCCUUGGAACAUCUGGAUGUGGUGGAGAUGCGGAGGAGGAAGGUGUACGCUCACCAGCAUGGGAGAAAGAGCAACGGAACUGCAGUGAAUUGAAAGACAUGAGUGAUGACAGUUAAAGUGAUUGAAGUGGUUUUGACAAUGUGGGAAAACAGAAGUGACAGAGACAAUAGUAUGGUGGGAAUAGCUCAUAUUUAAAGAGGUAUUGAGAUGGGAUGCUUGAGAAAAUCUUUCUCAUUGCUAUAAAGCUUGAUUUAAAAUUGGAAUCUUUUUUUUCCUUUGCUGCUGAACUGAACAUUUGAUUUUGUAAUGCUGGAAUUCAGACAGCUGAAGCCUCACAUUAUCUAUUAAUAUUUACACAGCAUCCAGGCUGUAUAUGUUGUCCCUUAUCACUUACUAUGAAAUGUUUUUCUUUGUGGAAAGUAGUUACAGAAACUGAUAGCCCUUGUGCAGUAAUAUGUCUGUUAGUAUUGUUUUAAUACUGAAAAAAUGUUCAUGUGUUGUUUGAUGAGAAUGUAAAUGCAAAGAUACCCGUCAUCUGACAGUAACUGUGCUUUUGAGAUAAAUGUUUCAUGACAGUAUGUGUUUAAAUGUGUGAUUACAUUAUAAGAUUAGAUAUGCAGAUUAAAUAAAAACAAAACAGCUCAGAGAAAUAAGUAUGCUGUUUUGUGCAGAAUAUAAUAUUAAGAUUACAUUUUGUGUAAAGAAUAAAUACAAAUGAAUCCAAAUGGUUUUAUUUGUGAUGCUUGUCUCUGUAACUUUGUCUCAUCACUGAUAACAAACUCAAUGAUUUCAUUAUUAAAAUGAGGUUAAAGUAAAACAAAAAAACCCUCAGUUUCCAUUUUAUCUCACUGCUCUUUUUAAGCUAAGGAUACAGUUAAUCUCUGGUCAGCACCAACUCAAUAGAGAAUGAUAGCACCAUCAUGGUGUAUGAAUGUUUUUUGAUGACUGAGAAUAGGAGUCUGGUCAGACUGAAGGGAUGAACAAAGUCAAAUUAAGAGAGAUCCUUAAAAAAUCUUCUCUGAAGUGACCUGAAUAAAGUUUCAGAUUUGUGCAAGACAACAAUGAAACAUGCAGCCCGGUAAAUAUUACGAGAGUAGUGCCAGGACAAGACAAGCUGAGAUCCAGAGUUGAACUGAAAUGAAAACCGGAUUGAUUCUGAUGGAGCUGCUAAAGCUGGAAAAAGACACAAAGACAUUAAAAUCUACCUGGAGCUGGCAGGAGAGGAAGGUACAGGGAUGGAGAUCCUUGCCGUGGGGGUCUCCCUGGGAGAGGACGUUUCCAACAUCCUUGUCAGGCGGUGAUAUCAUUGUACUGUUUUGAAAAUGCUUUCUUCUGACACAAGGUGUCCUCUGACAAAGAGACGUCUGACCAUGGUGGCUGAAGUGGUCUGGCAGCAGAGUGUCAGGAGGUAUUAUUCUGGAUGCUGAUCAGGCAUGAUGUACUUCCCGACCUCUUUGUACUUUCACUCACUGACAAAUGAUAAUUUAAUAAUAAUAAGAUUAAAUUGGCUGAUAUAUUAGCUAAAAUGCCUGAAAACAAACUUCUCUGGAGAGUUUCUUUAAAAAGAGUGAGAGGCUGAGACAGAAGAAAACUGGUCCUUGAAACCGGUCCUUGGUAUAAAAAACCAAAGAAAAAAGGUUGAACAUUGCUGUGGCAGUUUCCUUGAAGAAGUCCAAAAGUGAAAGUGUUUCACCGAUAGUGAGGAGCUGUCAGUCUGCACUGUGUGGAAGGAACACGCCGGAGACACCAAGAAUCAAUCUAUGUCGGUCGCGGAGGGUGCUGGAGCAUAUCCCAGCUGACUCGGGCGAAGGCAGGGGACACCCUGGACAGGUCGCCAGUCUGUCGUAGGGCUACAUAUACGCCCCAGGAUUCAAACCGGGAUCUUCUUGCUGCAAGGCAAACGUGCUAACCACUAACCCACUGUGCAGCCCUUGAUAGUACAUGAAUGAAAUAAAUCUAAUUGAAUAUGAACAUGAUUGCUCAUGUUACCGCUUUUCCGAAAAGUAUUUGAAACACUAUGAGUGUGAAAACCAUGAUUUUUCUUGUAGCGCAGUAACAGUAUUAUAUAAGUCCUUCAUUUGGGACACUAUUGGAGUGGUUUCACCAAUCAGACCUGCUCAAUACAAGCUCAAAUAAUGGCCGCAAAUGCAAAACAUGUAAUUUCAAUCAUUUUUCUCUCAUAAAGUAUGACUUGGCAUCUUACUCUACUUUUUUAAAGCUCCUAUUGGUGCUAUUAAUAGGAAACAAACUGAGCCUCUUCAAGUGAAAAGUAAAGGUUUUAUAGUUGGUGGAAUGGCAGAGAAAACAAAAGCACCUCAUGAUUCUCAUUUGCUCUGACACGCACUGUGAGCUGUAAGGUCUUAUAUAGACAGGUGUGUGCCUUUCCUAAUCAAGUCCAAUCAGAAUAAUUAAACACAGCUGGACUCCAAUAAAGAAGCAGAACCAUCUCGAGGAGGAUCAGAAGAAAUGGACAGCAAGUGAGUUAAAUAUGAAUGUCGCUGCAAAGGGUCUGAAUACUUAUGACCAUGUGAUAUUUCAGUUUUUAUUUUUAAAUACAUUUGCAAAAAAUUCUACAUUUCUGUUUUUUUUCUGUCAAGAUGGGGUGCUGAGUGUACAUUGAUGAGAAAUAAAAUGAACUUUUUGAUUUUGGCAAAUGGCUGCAAUGACACAGAGUGAAAAAUUUUAAGCGGUCUGAAUACUUUCCAUACCCACUGUAUUUGCUGGUUUACAGAGUCAUUUAAUUCAAUCAACGUCCUACAAUAAUCUAUAGUUAAAGUAAAACUAUCAAAUUGCAAGUUCUGACUCUGCUCUAUUACCAUGAAGACUGUGAAAAUGCCCAGACUGGACAAUCAUUACAAGUUACCCAAGUGAGACUCCAGAGUCAAUGACAGUUUAGUUUCAUCAUAAAAGUAAAUUGUGACUUACUUUCCAAAAUCAAACCUCUGAAUCAAUUGAACAAAAUCCACCUUCAGGCCUUGUCAGCUAUCAUUGUUUAUAAUGCACAUUCAGAUCAUCCACCCAUUCUCUGUACACCACUUUGUCCUCACUGGGGUUGCGGGGGGGCCACCCUGGACAGAUCGCCAGUCUAUCACAGGGCUACAUAUACAGACAAACUAUCACACUCACAUUCACAUGCAGGCCCAAUUUAGAGUAAUCAAUUAACCUCAGCAUAUGGGAGGAAGCCAGAGGGCCUGGAGAAAACCCACGCAUGCACAGGGAGAACAUGCAAACUCCAUGCAGAAAGAUCCCAGGCUCAGGCCGGGAUUUCAACCGGGAAUCUUCUUGCUGCAAGGCAAAGGUGCUAACCACUACAUCACUGUGCAGCCCUCCACUGACAGUUGCAUUAACUAAAUGUAACUCAUUACACUAAGGAGGAAUUUGACAUGGUGCUUUGGUGCAAAACUGUGACACAUACCAUCGAAAUGCUGUCAUUAACGACAAGUCAGUUGAGCAAAGCUGAGCCUCGCAGGAGGUCACAGA